rnacentral:rRNA from 1 species
UACGUAGGGGGCUAGCGUUGUCCGGAAUCACUGGGCGUAAAGGGCGCGUAGGCGGGAUGGCAAGUCGGUCGUGAAAUCCUUCGGCUCAACCGAAGAACGUCGGCCGAUACUGCCGUUCUUGAGGGAUGCAGAGGAGAUUGGAAUUCCCGGUGUAGCGGUGAAAUGUGUAGAGAUCGGGAGGAACACCGGUGGCGAAGGCGGCUCACUGGCCCGGUACUGACGCUGAGGUGCGAAAGCGUGGGGAGCAAACAGG